rnacentral:rRNA from 1 species
CAGUAGCCACGGGAAUACAGAGGGUGCGAGCGUUAAUCGGAUUUACUGGGCGUAAAGCGUGCGUAGGCGGCUUUUUAAGUCGGAUGUGAAAUCCCUGAGCUUAACUUAGGAAUUGCAUUCGAUACUGGGAAGCUAGAGUAUGGGAGAGGGCAGCGGAAUUCCGGGUGUAGCGGUGAAAUGCGUAGAUAUCCGGAGGAACACCGAUGGCGAAGGCAACUGCCUGGGCCUGAUCUGACACUGAGGCACGAAAGCGUGGGUAGCAAACAGGAUUAGAUACCCCAGUAGUCCCUGUCUCUUAUAC